GGCUGAGGAGGGCAGUAGCCCUGUCCGGCGGCGCCAUAUCUGAAGUGCCAACUGUUGCUGUCGACUCCAGCGCCCACUGGGGGUGAGAGUUCACCACCAUCUCCAUCUACUCAGCAAACUGGCACAGAGAUACUGGGAACUGGUACAGCUUAUAUCUCGAACAAUUUCCCAGCUCUCUUUUCCACCGAGGGAAAAGCUGACAGACAGCAAGACAUACUGUCACUGACUCGCCGAUUGAUUGACUGUGAUGCGACUCCUCACCCUCAAGUCUCUACCUAUGUUCUAAUUCCUGCAGCUAGACAGAAAAUCAAUGCAUGGAAGGUUGGCUGGAAGGAGGAGGGAACAGCUCACAAUGUUCCAAAUGCUGUUUCGAAAGUCAAAGUUUCAAAAGUUUUCAAGUCAACUGACAAAAGCUGUUAAGACAUCAGCCCUGAGCCAGUGUUUCUGUGAAGCACAGGUCAUGUUCGAGGCCAGUUCUACUUAUAAUUAUGUUGUGUUGCUAACAUUUUUAAUGUCGACUCCCACUCAGAACAACUCAUUUCUUAUUAAAAAACAUUUGCCUUUUUCA